GGAUGGGUGGCAGAGUUUGGUCGAUUGCACCAGUCUUGAAAACUGGCGUACGUUAGCGCGUACCGUGGGUUCGAAUCCCACCCCAUCCG
rnacentral:tRNA from 1 species